rnacentral:rRNA from 1 species
UUCGGAAUGAGUAGAGCGGCGGACGGGUGAGUAAUGCAUAGGAAUCUGCCCAGUAGUGGGGGAUAGCCCGGGGAAACCCGGAUUAAUACCGCAUACGUCCUACGGGAGAAAGCAGGGGAUCUUCGGACCUUGCGCUAUUGGAUGAGCCUAUGUCGGAUUAGCUUGUUGGUGGGGUAACGGCCCACCAAGGCGACGAUCCGUAGCUGGUCUGAGAGGAUGAUCAGCCACACUGGAACUGAGACACGGUCCAGACUCCUACGGGAGGCAGCAGUGGGGAAUAUUGCACAAUGGGGGAAACCCUGAUGCAGCCAUGCCGCGUGUGUGAAGAAGGCCUUCGGGUUGUAAAGCACUUUCAGUAGGGAGGAAGGCCCUAAAGUUAAUACCUUUAGGGAUUGACGUUACCUACAGAAGAAGCACCGGCUAACUCCGUGCCAGCAGCCGCGGUAAUACGGAGGGUGCGAGCGUUAAUCGGAAUUACUGGGCGUAAAGCGCGCGUAGGCGGUUAGUUAAGCUGGAUGUGAAAGCCCCGGGCUCAACCUGGGAACUGCAUUCAGAACUGGCUGGCUAGAGUACGAGAGAGGGUAGUGGAAUUUCCUGUGUAGCGGUGAAAUGCGUAGAUAUAGGAAGGAACAUCAG